CCUACGGGUGGCAGCAGUGGGGGAUAUUGCACAAUGGGGGAAACCCUGAUGCAGCGACGCCGCGUGGGUGAAGAAGCGCCUCGGCGCGUACAGCCCUGUCAGCAGGGAAGAAAAUGACGGUACCUGAAGAAGAAGCCCCGGCUAACUACGUGCCAGCAUCCGCGGUAAUACGUAGGGGGCAAGCGUUAUCCGGAUUUUCUGGGUGUAAAGGGGGCGCAGACGGCGAUGCAAGCCAGGAGUGAAAGCCCGGGGCCCAACCCCGGGACUGCUCUUGGAACUGCUUGGCUAGAGUGCAGGAGGGGCAGGCGGAAUUCCUGGUGUAGCCGUGAAAUGCGUAGAUAUCAGGAGGAACACCGGUGGCGAAGGCGGCCUGCUGGACUGCAACUGACGUUGAGGCCCGAAAGCGUGGGGAGCAAACAGGAUUAGAUACCCCUGUAGUC
rnacentral:rRNA from 1 species